GUGUCCUGGGUCCCACCAAAGCCAAUGCCAGAGGGCGGGCCUCCUGUGGGGGUGGGGGCAGUCCCACCCGUGGGUCCUCCUCUGCUGACCUCACCUGAACGCCGGGGUCCUCUACGAAUCCACUGCCGCGACGGCUGGAUCCAUUUCUGGUCCUUCAAAGUCCCACCUGGUGUCUGGAGGGAUCCAUAGAGGACUAAGAUGUCCAAGGGUGGGUCUGUAGAGGAUACAGGUGUCUGGGGGCACCUGGUCUUUUUGACCUUAAGCCCCCUACCCCCCCCCCUCGUCACAAUCAAACCCAUCAUUUAAUCCAGCAGAGGAAGCUCCCAACCGCUGUGGCAUGGCUGAGCGUGGUCCCGCUUCCGCCUUGCCUCGAGCUGAGAUGUGGUUGUGGCGCUACAGGGGUAAUGGAAACAAGUCACGGUUUGGAGAGAAAAAUGGUGAAAUGGGGCUAUCCCCACAGAGGGUGUGCGUUCUGGGAUCUGCCCCCUUCCCUGCUGGGGCGUGAGAUUGUCCCCCGCCCCAGGCAGGAAACCACCGCUCAGCCCGGGGUCAGUCCUGGGACACAGGAGGGAAUGAGCCUCUUGGUGGCUUUGGUGGCCACCUCUGCCCUUCAGCCACCUGAGGUUCAACCCUUUCCCAGGGUUCAACCCCUGAAGGUUCAACCCCUGAAGGUUCAACCCUUUCCCAAAGUUCAACCCUUUCCCAAAGUUCAACCCUCAAGGCAGCCAGCUUGGGGGAAACUUACCCUUUUGGGGAUACCUCUUGCUUUCCGUUCCUCCACAGAAGGAUUUUUCAUGUCUUUUUUGCCAUUUCUCCAGCUUUAUUGCCCUUUGAGAUAAGCCCAAUUCCCUCUUCCCCACAAAGGAUGAAGGGUUGGGACUUGCCUUUCCCACAAAAUCCCGCCAAUGGCGAGGCAUCAGGUUAAGCCUAAGGCAGGCAGCGGGUGCGGGAAAGUAGCGGCGGAUCGGCGAGGAGGAUUGUAAAUACGCUCAAGUGGCACCGGCAACUGGCUGCCGAGCUGGCGGAGGUGAAGGCGUCGGAGCGGAGGCUGCAGCAGCGGGUGAAGAGCCUGACGGCCGAGCUGGCCUCCUGCAAGAGGGGCAGCCACCGGACACCCGUCGGCACGGCCAGCCGUCCCCAGGAACGACGCUCGGCGUCCCGGGAAAGCCGCCGUGGCGGCCAGGGCCGCCCCCCGUCACGGUCCCCAUCACCCGCAGGUGGGGGACGCUGAGGGACACACGUGGAGUGGGGGGGGGGACACAUGGUUUGCCCCCCCUCCCUGCCCCAACACCCUCCUCUACC